rnacentral:lncRNA from 1 species
GCCCCCCGCCGCUCUCCCAUUGGCCGCCCGCGCAGGCGCGGCCCCGCCCCGGCCCCGCCCCCUCCGGGGUCAUUUAAGUUUAUGGAGGAAAAUAAAUAAAUAAAGCGGGAAAUAGAAAUGCGUAGAAGGCGGGGGGGGGGCGGGGCGGGGGGGAGCUCAACCAAACCUGCUGCCUGAGGGCGGGCGCGCCCGCGGCGGCCAAUCGGUGCCCGAGUGCCGGCAGGAGUGACACCUGCGCCGAGCCACUCAGGGCUCUCGGGAGAAGAAGGCGGCCGCUAGCCUGCCAAAACCCGACCAAUGAGAGGCGCCGCCCGUUUGGCGGACGUUUGCGCCUUCCAAUAGGAGGGGCGCGUAGCGGACCGGCUUCGCCUAUCGAGAAUUAGCCGUGGGUCGCCAGGAGGGGGGCGGGCCCAGGCGGCGGCGGGAGGCGGGGCCCGCCCUGAGUGGCGGCGCUGCGAGCCAAUGGGUGAGGGCCGGCGGGGCGGGGGGGCCGGGGGCCAAUGAGGGGGCCCUGCGAGGCGGCGGCGGCCGCCUCUGAAAGUGCCGCGAGCCGGCGGCGCCGAGCGCGGGGCAGGGGAAGAUGAGAGAGCAGCAUAAGAAAGAAGUGUUGAGAGCUGCUCUUAACCCUUUUGGAGGCCGAAGUCUAAAGGUAAAAGCAAACGCUCAUGUUUGUGUUUCUGAAGGUUUUGAUAUCAUAAUUGUUUGGAAAUGCUGUUUCCUUAUCACAUCUGAACUGAGAUUUCCCGCAGGAGAAAAGGAGGGAUAUGGUAAGAGGAAUCAAAACAUUAUUAGACCUCUUUAAGAGCCACCAGCAUAUCUAGGCAUAAAUUACACAGGUAAGUUACAACUGGUAAACUGCAAUUAUCUAUUUUACUUAAUAUGAAAACAUUGGCGUUGAGAGUCAGUGGGACUUUCAGUAGAAUUUAAUAUUGCUAAGGAUUUAAUGAUUUUUG